rfam:Strongyloides ratti strain ED321 Heterogonic genome assembly, chromosome: 1
CCAAAGGCCCUCUUUAGGGCCACCAAAAAAUUAAUAAUUAUCUUUCU